rnacentral:rRNA from 1 species
UACGUAGGGUGCAAACGUUGUCCGGAAUUAUUGGGCGUAAAGAGCUCGUAGGCGGUUUGUCGCGUCUGCUGUGAAAACCCGAGGCUCAACCUCGGGCCUGCAGUGGGUACGGGCAGACUAGAGUGCGGUAGGGGAGAUUGGAAUUCCUGGUGUAGCGGUGGAAUGCGCAGAUAUCAGGAGGAACACCGGUGGCGAAGGCGGGUCUCUGGGCCGAUAUUGACGCUGAGGAGCGAAAGCGUGGGGAGCGAACAGG